UUCCCUUGCUAUAUUUUAUUAUAUUUAUUAAUAAAAUGAGUAUUCCAUUAAAGCAAGGGAGGAGGUUCUGCUUUACCCUUUGGGAAGAUUUUUGUUUUAAACAAAAUAUAUUCAGUACGGAAGUCAAAUAUUGUGUUAUUGGAGCAGAGAAGAGUCCAUCUACCCUGAGAGACCAUUAUCAAGGGUUCAUCUCCUUCACGAAUGUGAAGAGACCUGGUGCUGUGAAAGAUUUCCUUGGUUCUCAAACAGUGCAUUUAACUAAUGCCACUGGUUCAGAUCUACAGAACAAGGUGUAUUGUUCUAAAGAAGGUUAUGUUAUCUUUGAGCUUGGUGAGCCUGUAGCCCCUGGUCAGCAUAAGAGGAAGAGGAUCCAACUAUGUGAAGAAGACCCUGAGAGUGCUAAGAUUGAGUAUCCGGACAUGUAUAACAGAUACAUAUGUUUACAGAAGAGAAAGGCCUUCAUAGAAAAUUAUGCUGACGUGCACCCCCGUCAUCCAUGGCAGAAUAUUCUUAUGGAAUAUAUAUCAGGAUCUCCUGAUCAUAGAUCUAUCUACUGGAUCUACGGUCCAGAUGGUGGAGAAGGUAAAACGGAAUUCUCUAAGCUAUUGGAGGCAAAAUAUAAUUAUUUUGUUGUGAAGCCUACCAAGAUUGAAAACAUGAUGUAUUAUUACGUAGAUGAUAAUACUACGAAGCAUGCUUGUGUUGAUAUUCCUAGAAGAGUUCAGCAGAGUCACUAUGACGCCAUAUAUGAUUUCAUAGAGAGUGUUAAGGACAGAAUGAUUCAGAGCACCAAAUACAGACCUGUGAAGUAUAGAGAAUUAAAUUUGGUGCAUUGUAUUGUAAUGAGUAAUCAGCUUCCUGAUUACGAAAAGAUAUCAUCUGAUAGAAUUAUAUUAAUUGAAUGUAAUCCAUAGUCCCUGCACUAAGGGCCUUGUAUUGUUGAAGACAUUUAUCUCCAUUAAUUUCUAAUUAGAUUAUGGGCUUCCGUAGGGAUCCUUGUAGAACAGACUAUAUGGGGAAGCUGUGCAUUGUUUGGGUUUUUCAAAUGUGGAUGGAAUGCUUACCUUUGUUUCUUGAAAAGUGGAGUUGCUCUACUUCUUCCUUGACAAACCAAAUUAUCAUUUAUUCUUCCCAAGUCUGAUAUAAGGUUGGUCACUUGUCUUUCAACAGUUUUAGAAAUUGUUGAUAAACUAAAUGAGAUAUAUAAUGCAGGUUAGGAGGGGUGCAGAUAGAGCAGAAAUAUAUAGUCUGGCAUUCUCUUUAACUGCCCAGUGGCUGGCAGUCUCAAGCGACAAGGGCACUGUCCAUGUUUUUGGUCUAAAGGCUAAUUUGGGAAACCUGGGAAGUGAUAAGUCACAUGGUGCAUCUGAUCCCAAUCAUGCUGUUUCAUCACCCACUUCAUCACUCUCUUUUAUAAAAGCUUCUAUCGUUGCCAGUUUGAUCCAGUGAGUGGUGGAGAGAUGACUCAGUUGGAAUAUCACAACUUCCUAAAGCCUGAAGAAGCUUUUUAGGAGAGGGUUUGAAUACCCUAACUUCUUCAUUGUUGUAUACAAUACUGUUCCCAUUUGUGUGUAUCAUUUGGUUCUCUUCCAAAUAGGAGGAGAAUAUUAUGUUGUAAAUAUGAUUAUUUGUUACUCACAUUUGACAAUUUGCAACUGUUUUAACCACCAAAAAGUGUAACAAAACAUAUUCACAUCUGUAAAUAUUCAAGUAUCUCGUAAUUAUAUUUAUGUCAAGCUUUCUA